rnacentral:rRNA from 1 species
CUUUCUUUGCUGGCGACCGGCGCACGGGUGAGUAACACGUAUCCAACCUGCCCUUUACUCGGGGAUAGCCUUUCGAAAGAAAGAUUAAUACCCGAUAGCAUAAUGAUUCCGCAUGGUUUCAUUAUUAAAGGAUUCCGGUAAAGGAUGGGGAUGCGUUCCAUUAGGUUGUUGGUGAGGUAACGGCCCACCAAGCCUUCGAUGGAUAGGGGUUCUGAGAGGGAGGUCCCCCACAUUGGAACUGAGACACGGUCCAA